CCCCAGCUGGGCCUGACCCAUUGCUGGGGCUCCUGCCAGCCUCAUUCCACUGCCCUGGUACCCUGCUAUGAAGUGGUUGAUUCUCCAGUUCCUGACACUCCUCUGCCUGCUUGUCCUGCCAGUGUCCGGGACAUGGAAAGAGAGAGUUCAUCCAGAAAUUGAACUUCCUGAUUACAAUGGUGUGGCUGCCGAACUGCUGUCCUUUCCCGCUUCCAGUGAGCAACAAGCUGGACUAGGAAAUGAACAGCCUAUUGUCGAAGACUGAGCCUUUUGGCACCCAGGCGAGAGAUGGAGACUCCUGCCUGGCAGGUGCUCGGAGAGCACCACGAGGGCGCCAUGAGGACCACCGGCUUGGGAGGGAGGACGUGCUCCCUGGGGGUAAGGUCUCUGUGACCUGCCCACCCUCCUCCCCGAGCCAUUCUAGGAGCAACCCAGCCUGGAGUCCUUGCCAAAUAAACUUUCAUGAUGUCCCAA